AGAUGGGCAUCUCCGAUCAUGGACGAACCACCCUCUGAUGUGCUUGCAUUCUUGCGCCAGCACCCCAGCUUGAGACUACUGCCCAACACCCGCAAGGUUCGCUGCUCCCUAACUGGCCAUGAGCUGCCCUGCCGUCUGCCCGAGCUCCAGGAAUACACCCGCGGCAAGAAGUACCAACGGCUGUCAAGUUCCUUCUCUAACUUCGAUUACGCAGCUUUCGAGCCACACAUUGUGCCCAGCACAAAGAAUCGGCACCAACUGUUCUGCAAACUCACCCUGAGGCACAUCAAUAAGUCCCCAGAACACGUGCUGAGGCACACCCAGGGCCGGAGGUAUCAGAGAGCACUUCAUCAAUUCUCCUAGAUGAAGAGUGUCAGAAACAAGGUGUGGAAUAUGUCCCUGCCUGCCUUCUACACAAGAGGAAGAAGAGAGAGGACCAGACGAACAGUGAUGAACUCCCAGGCCAGAGAACAGGUUUCUGGGAGCCAGCUUCCAGUGACGAGGAAGACGCCUUGAGUGACGACAGCAUGACAGACCUAUACCCACCUGAGCUGUUCACAAAGAGAGAACUAGGCAAGCCUAAGAACGAUGACACUCCUGAAGACUUUCUGACAGACCAACAGGAUGAGAAGCCGGAGCAUUCAGAAGAGAAGAGCUUUAGAGAGAGGGAAGAGGCCAGAGUGGGCCACAAGAGGGGUCGUAAACUGAGGAAGGCCCCACACUGACCCAGCAAUAGAAGUGUUGAGAAGGCAGACUUAAGGCUCUUCCGGCUUAGACACACAGUGCCUUUCCCUGUGAACCUGCAGAGGCCCUGGUCAGCAUUUUCUGCUUUCACAGAAGCAGCUCACCUCCUUGACCAAGAAGUUCAAGAGCUAUCAUCACAAGCCCAAGAACUUCAGUUCCUUUAAGCAGCUGGGGAGAUGAAGCCUGCAAAAAAAGCCUUUGGAUGUCCUUGGAAAUGGCCACUGAUAUCCUGACAUUGGCUGUUGUCCAGAGUGGGCCUGGAGGUUCUGUUCAGAAGAUGGCAGCGUCGGGGACUUGCAUGGCUUUCUCUGCAGUGUUGAGUGACUCUUGCUGUAGCUCACUGUAGCAUCCCGAAGCCUAGCCAGGCUCCCAGCUCUGGCUGCUCACCAUAUAGGACCACACUAUAUACCACAAAUGCCAUUAUUUAUUUUGAUGUUUCCAAAGAUCAAAACAUUUUCAAACACAACUAAGAUAUAAAAUACAGCAUAAAAAUGAGGUUUAUACCUAUUCCCACAUAAAGCUAAAGCAUCUUCAGAAAACUUUUGCCAAACCAA